rnacentral:rRNA from 1 species
CUUAACGCGAAGAACCUUACCUACUCUUGACAUCCACGGAAUUCGGCAGAGAUGCCUCAGUGCCUUCGGGAACCGUGAGACAGGUGCUGCAUGGCUGUCGUCAGCUCGUGUUGCGAAAUGUUGGGUUAAGUCCCGCAACGAGCGCAACCCUUAUCCUUUGUUGCCAGCGAUUCGGUCGGGAACUCAAAGGAGACUGCCGGUGAUAAACCGGAGGAAGGUGGGGAUGACGUCAAGUCAUCAUGGCCCUUACGAGUAGGGCUACACACGUGCUACAAUGGCGCAUACAAAGAGAAGCGACCUCGCGAGAGCAAGCGGACCUCAUAAAGUACGUCGUAGUCCGGAUUGGAGUCUGCAACUCGACUCCAUGAAGUCGGAAUCGCUAGUAAUCGUAGAUCAGAAUGCUACGGUGAAUACGUUCCCGGGCCUUGUACACACCGAAG